CAACCUGCCCCGAAGACCGGGAUAACAGUGGGAAACCGCUGCUAAUACCGGAUGCCCUCAUCAGGCCGCAUGACCAGAUGAGGAAAUGAAUUUCGCUUCGGGAGGGGCUCGCGGGCUAUCAGCUUGUUGGUGAGGUAACGGCUCACCAAGGCUACGACGGCUAGCUGGUCUGAGAGGACGAUCAGCCACACUGGGACUGAGACACGGCCCAG
rnacentral:rRNA from 1 species